rnacentral:rRNA from 1 species
CGGAUUAUUGGGCGUAAGAGCUCGUAGGCGGUUUGUCGCGUCUGCCGUGAAAGUCCGGGGCUCAACUCCGGAUCUGCGGUGGGUACGGGCAGACUAGAGUGAUGUAGGGGAGACUGGAAUUCCUGGUGUAGCGGUGAAAUGCGCAGAUAUCAGGAGGAACACCGAUGGCGAAGGCAGGUCUCUGGGCAUUAACUGACGCUGAGGAGCGAAAGCAUGGGGAGCGAACAGGAUUAGAUACCCUGGUAGUCCAUGCCGUAAACGUUGGGCACUAGGUGUGGGGGACAUUCCACGUUUUCCGCGCCGUAGCUAACGCAUUAAGUGCCCCGCCUGGGGAGUACGGCCGCAAGGCUAAAACUCAAAGGAAUUGACGGGGGCCCGCACAAGCGGCGGAGCAUGCGGAUUAAUUCGAUGCAACGCGAAGAACCUUACCAAGGCUUGACAUGAACCGGUAAUACCUGGAGACAGGUGCCCCGCUUGCGGUCGGUUUACAGGUGGUGCAUGGUUGUCGUCAGCUCGUGUCGUGAGAUGUUGGGUUAAGUCCCGCAACGAGCGCAACCCUCGUUCUAUGUUGCCAGCACGUGAUGGUGGGGACUCAUAGGAGACUGCCGGGGUCAACUCGGAGGAAGGUGGGGACGACGUCAAAUCAUCAUGCCCCUUAUGUCUUGGGCUUCACGCAUGCUACAAUGGCCGGUACAAAGGGUUGCGAUACUGUGAGGUGGAGCUAAUCCC